AGGAGAUCCCCAAAGCUGAAAAUCUUACAGGUACAUAGCCACAUGGCAAGUAUUGCCCCAAUAUUUAACUGGCUCACCAAUACUAAAAGGAACUUUUAGAUACAGGCAUUGUAAGGCAUGUAAGUUCAUCACUCUCUCAACCACAGUCAAGUCUACACAAUCCAACAUCAAGGUACACAUUAAUGCAUUUAUUAAUUGCAGCACCACCCGGGUUAUAUAUCUCAUAACAUGCAGCUGUGGUGCUCAAUAUAUAGGUAAAACCAUUCAG